rnacentral:rRNA from 1 species
AGAGUUUGAUCCUGGCUCAGGAUGAACGCUGGCGGCGUGCCUAAUACAUGCAAGUCGAGCGAACGGACGAGAAGCUUGCUUUUCUGAUGUUAGCGGCGGACGGGUGAGUAACACGUGGAUAACCUACCUAUAAGACUGGGAUAACUUCGGGAAACCGGAGCUAAUACCGGAUAAUAUUUUGAACCGCAUGGUUCAAAAGUGAAAGACGGUCUUGCUGUCACUUAUAGAUGGAUCCGCGCUGCAUUAGCUAGUUGGUAAGGUAACGGCUUACCAAGGCAACGAUGCAUAGCCGACCUGAGAGGGUGAUCGGCCACACUGGAACUGAGACACGGUCCAGACUCCUACGGGAGGCAGCAGUAGGGAAUCUUCCGCAAUGGGCGAAAGCCUGACGGAGCAACGCCGCGUGAGUGAUGAAGGUCUUCGGAUCGUAAAACUCUGUUAUUAGGGAAGAACAUAUGUGUAAGUAACUGUGCACAUCUUGACGGUACCUAAUCAGAAAGCCACGGCUAACUACGUGCCAGCAGCCGCGGUAAUACGUAGGUGGCAAGCGUUAUCCGGAAUUAUUGGGCGUAAAGCGCGCGUAGGCGGUUUUUUAAGUCUGAUGUGAAAGCCCACGGCUCAACCGUGGAGGGUCAUUGGAAACUGGAAAACUUGAGUGCAGAAGAGGAAAGUGGAAUUCCAUGUGUAGCGGUGAAAUGCGCAGAGAUAUGGAGGAACACCAGUGGCGAAGGCGACUUUCUGGUCUGUAACUGACGCUGAUGUGCGAAAGCGUGGGGAUCAAACAGGAUUAGAUACCCUGGUAGUCCACGCCGUAAACGAUGAGUGCUAAGUGUUAGGGGGUUUCCGCCCCUUAGUGCUGCAGCUAACGCAUUAAGCACUCCGCCUGGGGAGUACGACCGCAAGGUUGAAACUCAAAGGAAUUGACGGGGACCCGCA